UACAGAGGGGGCAAGCGUUAUUCGGAAUUAUUGGGCGUAAAGGGCGCGUAGGCGGCUUUGCAAGUGACGGGUGAAAGCCCUCGGCUUAACCGAGGAACUGCCUGUCAGACUGUGAGGCUUGAGACCAGGAGAGGUGAGUGGAAUUCCCAGUGUAGCGGUGAAAUGCGUAGAUAUCUGGAGGAACACCGGUGGCGAAGGCGGCAUCCUGGACCGGUAUUGACGCUGAGGCGCGAAAGCUAGGGGAGCAAACGGGG
rnacentral:rRNA from 1 species